UACGGGGGGGGCAAGCGUUGUUCGGAAUUACUGGGCGUAAAGGGUUUGUAGGUGGCCCGCUAAGUCACACGUGAAAUCCCUCAGCUUAACUGGGGAACUGCGUGUGAGACUGGCAGGCUCGAGGGCAGGAGAGGAACGCGGAAUUCCAGGUGUAGCGGUGAAAUGCGUAGAUAUCUGGAGGAACACCGGUGACGAAGGCGGCGUUCUGGACUGUCUCUGACACUGAAGAACGAAAGCCAGGGGAGCAAACGGG
rnacentral:rRNA from 1 species